UUGGUGCACCGCUGUCCUGGCUGCUGGGGGGCAGGGUCUCCGGCAGGCCUGGGAUUUGGGGCACCGCUGUCCUGGCUGCUGGGGGGCAGGGUCUCUGGCAGGUCUGGGAUUUGGGGCACCGCUGUCCUGGCUGCCGAGGGGCAGGGUCUCUGGCAGGUCUGGAAUUUGGGGCACCCCUGUCCCGGCUGCCGGGGGCACUGUGGAACAGGGUCACUUACGAAGCCGUUGCAGCUGUGGCAGAAGGUGGG